rnacentral:rRNA from 1 species
CACGGGGGGAGCAAGCGUUGUUCGGAAUCACUGGGCGUAAAGGGCGCGUAGGCGGUCUGCUAAGCGUGCGGUGAAAGCCUGGGGCUCAACCCCAGGUCUGCCGUGCGAACUGGUGGACUGGAGCACUGUAGAGGCAGGUGGAAUUCCGGGUGUAGCGGUGGAAUGCGUAGAGAUCCGGAAGAACACCAGUGGCGAAGGCGGCCUGCUGGGCAGUUGCUGACGCUGAGGCGCGACAGCGUGGGGGAGCAAACAGG